UCCCAUCAUCUAUUUUUACUAAAAUACCCUUCUUUUUUAUUACUUUUCCACCCUACUCCUGCUAUAUUUCCACCUUACAAUAUAGUCCCACAUCGAUUUGAGAAAGAAAGUCUUUAAACUUAAUGCGAGUACAUGAGAGAGAAAAGUGAGGCACAAAUCCAGAAAGGGUCCAAAAUUUCUUCUUGACCUUUUUGCCCUCGAUCCCAUCAUCUGCUUUUACUAAAAUACCCUUAUUUUUUGUUACUUUCCCACCGUACCCCUGCUGUAUUUCCACCUUACGAUGGACUGCUCUCUCUGCAACUCCUCCAAAUUCGACUUUUGGCCGUCUUCCGCGAUUUCCAUCCAAUUCGAAUAGCACCCAUGUAUCUAUAUGUGUUUGUAACUGUGCGUAUAUAUAUAUAAUCGAUCUAGGUAUCUAACCAGUAUGAAGUGUGAUCGAUUACUCUGUUGCUGCGAUCCAAUAAAACAAUGCACAACAUCUUAUGUUAUAAGAGAGAUGGUCCAACCAAGAAUACAGUACCAAGCUUAAAAGCCAAACCAUGUACUAUUUGUUCACACCAUUGUUAUAGAUAAAACAGUGCUUCUUCUUCUUCUCUUAUUUUUCUACACUCCAAAACAGUAUUGAUAUGUUGGAUGGUCUGACAUGUGCGAUGGAGUUCAUUUAUAGAUUUGCCUUAUAUUAUUGUCAUUGUGAGUUAUUGUUGUUGUAACUUUUUGUUGUUGAUUGACAUUGAUUUCGUUACCAUUUAGGAAACCUGUAUUGUAACCAUACUUUUAUCAGCGAGAUCAUUGUUGUUGUGUUCAGAUGUUAUGGGACUGAGAUAAGUUGGAACUCGGUUAAGUUGUAUAUGCAUGGAGGUGUUGUAUAUGUAAGAAACUAUAUUUAGGUCAUUGUUGUAUGUGUUUCUAUUUCUUUUUCCCUUCUGUUUUGAUUUUGUGCUUGUAGGACAUUACAUUACAAUUCACAAGCAUCAAGUACCUUUAUCAAUGAAUGGGUAUAGAAUUUUUCAAAAUAACACGAAAACCUAAUGAAGCACAUUUUCAAGAGCCAUCCUAAGCCAACCCUACCAUCAGCUCAUAUAAUAAACGAGCCUAUAAUUGCAAUCUUCCUUGAAGUAAAGCUUUAAUUUGGUAAAUGGGCAACUGGGCAUAUCUGUUUGACAGAGAAAUCCUUCACUUAAAUGGAAAUAACAUUCUAAUCUUACAGAAAAUGGAUUUGGGUGUUCAUUUUAUUGGAUAGAACAUACGUAGGAUAGAUGACUUUUGGAGACUUAAAAUCCCUCAAGACACUGGAUUUUCUGAUGUAUUCGCGGGGUAUACCACACUUUGAGAAUAGGGCUUGCUUGGUUUGUCACUCAGAAAAUAGUUCUCAAGAAGCCAGAAAACUGAUCUUAAAACAGUUAUGUUGAAACAUGCCUUUUUAUAAUAGAGUUUUCAGAAAAUUGUUCUUAGAGCCCGUAAAUUAAGAGAGGCAUGUUUUUGAGAGAGAGAAAUAACAAUUCAUCUAAAUAACUGGAUUAUAAUCGAGUUUCAGUUCAAAAUAAUGUCAAUUUUAUAGAAUACUCAAGUGGGUGUACUAGCUUCAUCACAUUGAAACUUUGAAAGCUUCCAUACGUGACAUAUAUAUAUAUAUAUAUAUAUAUAUAUAUAUAUGUAAUGUAUAUAUACAUAUAUUUAGUCUAACUACGAUAAAUUAAGUGGAAAAUGAAGAGAUCCAAGUGUUGAAAGCUUGUGGUUUAAUGCUUGCAAUGACGUAAGCUAAAGUGGCUUGGUGUGAGUAUUGAGCAUAUGGAUUAGUCCCACAUCGGGGUUAAGAAACAAAGGCUUCGUACGAAACAGAGAAGAUUAGCAUGGCCCGUCAGGAUGACAGGCACAAAAAUGGUUCGGAUAUUAUCUGGGUUUUUCUCUCUUUUUUGUGGGUUUCUUUUCCAUUUGUAUUCUUUUUUUUUGGAAAUAUAUUUUUUUAAAUAUCUCAGUUUUGCUUUGUCAUCCCUUUUUAUCUGUGAAUGUAUGCGUGAUUGUUUGUAUAAUCGUACGUGCCUUUCAGAGUAAUUCCCAAAUUGAGUCGCUUACAAAUUAAAAUUAAGGGUAACAUAUAUAGCCCUUGCAGUUUUUUUUUUUAAAAUGGGGAUGCACGGUAAAUGUAAUUUAUAAUAAAGGGAAUGUCUUCCUUGACAUGCAUGGUUGACUUAGCCAAAACAAAACUAAUAGCCAAGCUUAUCCUCUCCUCCGUCGACAACCCCAAAUUUGUCAAGUGCAUGACAUGGAUCAGGCCAGCGAGAUUUAGGUCGAGUAAGUUCCCUUGUACUCGUGAAUCUGCUCUCUCGCUGAUCUCACUCGCCAGAUCUUCCUAAAAGAAAAAUCAUUCAUGGAAUCAAUUCUCGAAAACAAGUCAAAAUUGCCAAUUUUAGGGUAUCUUGAAUUUCUACCAUGUCUGUGACUUAAGUUAUCUUCCAUGGAUUUUUUGCUUAAAAAUAGAGUAUAGAUGGUGAAAUUAUGUUAGGGGUCAUGUUACGUUUAGUCUUUCUUUUAAUGUCUUAGAAUGAAUGAAUUUAUGGGCUUAAUGUUCUGAAUGGUUUCCUAAAUAGUACACUAUUACAGUAUAUUCUAACAUGAAUGAUAAUGUAUACAUUGAGGAUUUUGAAUAUUUAAGGGUAAAUUCUUUUAUAGGUGGUUCAAUUGAGUUGUUAUGUAAGACUAAGCGAAAAAUACUUAUUUUCUCAUUCUCUUGUAUGUAAUAUUCAGUUCUUUGUUGAAGUUAUAAAUUUUAUUUACAUGGAUAACAUCCCCCUUGAUCUUAUUUUUAAAUUAAAAUUUAAGAAUUUCUUGUGCAUUUAAAUUUUGAUUGUUUAAAGCACAUUAAAUUGUAUUGGGUACAUCCACAUGUUUAUCAUUCAAUUUAUUAUUUAUAACAGCUUGACCUUAUAUAAUUUCUUUCCCCCAUCUUGCCUAAAUUAGGCUCCUCCUCAUUUAAAGGUAGUCCAAUUGUUUGUGUAUGGCAGAUAUGAGCUUACAAAGUUUCUCUUUAUUUAGUUUUCUUGGUUGGAUUUUAAAUUUUGAGUCUUGAGUUAAACAAUUAUUAGGAUUUUAAUUGAAUGUUUGGAAUGAGACUACUGAAUAUAAAAAGAGAUAUAUUGAUGUAGAUAUAUAUGUGUGCUGGUGGACCAAGUGUUCAUUAGUAUUAGAUUAAGCUAAACAAAUAUUUUACCUUUAUCUAAUAUUGUUAGUUUUUAGUAAACGAAAAUAAUUUUUUUCUCCACUUUCUUUGUUGUGUUAACUCUCGCAUUGGGCAGACUUUUUUCUAGGCAUAUUGUUUGGUAAAAGAAGUGCGGAUCUGGUUUUCUAGUAUAUGCAAUUGGAUUAAUCUUUUACAGGCUGCAACUUUCGAGGAGGCUCUGCAUGGUUUGUGACUAAUUCAAAAGGAUCACAAAUGGGAGUAAAGUUCAUUAGAUGGUACUGUGAUUAUUUGAAAUAUAUGGAGGGAGAGUAAUCUCAGGUUUGCUGCUACUGAUGCGUGUUUGGGAGCACUACUCGGGCUUAAGUUUGAGGAUAUAGAGUUGUUUUGAAUUUCUUAAUUCUGUUUUAUUUAUCCUUUUGUUAGUUUUAGUUUAGUCUUGAUAGUUUAUGUUUUGUGAGAGCAUCCUCAGCUUUAUUAUUAUUUUUAUUUAUUUAUUUGUAUCAAUAAAACCUACCACAUUCAGUCUACUCAGCUAACUACUGAUGCAUGCUUGGGAGCGCUACUCGAGCUGAAGCUUGAGGAUAUAGAGUUGUUUUGAAUUUCUUAA